rnacentral:rRNA from 1 species
CACUGUCACUCCUACGGGGAGGCAUCAGUGGGGAAUAUUGCACAAUGGGCGCAAGCCUGAUGCAGCCAUGCCGCGUGUAUGAAGAAGGCCUUCGGGUUGUAAAGUACUUUCAGUCGUGAGGAAGGCGGCGUCGUUAAUAGCGGCGUUGUUUGACGUUAGCGACAGAAGAAGCACCGGCUAACUCCGUGCCAGCAGCCGCGGUAAUACGGAGGGUGCGAGCGUUAAUCGGAAUUACUGGGCGUAAAGCGCAUGCAGGUGGUUUGUUAAGUCAGAUGUGAAAGCCCGGGGCUCAACCUCGGAAUUGCAUUUGAAACUGGCAGACUAGAGUACUGUAGAGGGGGGUAGGAAUUUCAGGUGUAGCGGUGAAAUGCGUAGAGAUCUGAAGGAAUACCGGUGGCGAAGGCGGCCCCCUCGGACAGAUACUGACACUCAGAUGCGAAAGCGUGGGGAGCAAACAGGAUUAGAUACCCUGGUAG